rnacentral:tRNA from 1 species
GCCGGGGUGGCGAAACUGGUCAUACGCGCCCGACUUAAAAUCGGGUGGCCUUCGGGCCGUCUGGGUUCGAGUCCCAGCCCCGGCA